GAUGAACGCUGGCGGCGUGCCUAAUACAUGCAAGUCGAGCGAAGCGGGGACGGGUGAGUAACACGUGGCUACCCUCCUAUAAGACUGGGGUCACUUCGGGAAACCGUAGCUCAACCGGCUACUUAUAGAUGGUUCCGGGCUGCAUUAGCUAGUUGGUAAGGUAACGGCUUACCAAGGCAACGAUGCGUAGCCGACCUGAGAGGAUGAUCGGUCACACUGGAACUGAGACACGGUCCAGACUCCUACGGGAGGCAGCAGUAGGGAAUCUUCCGCAAUGGGCGAAAGCCUGACGUAGCCACGCCGCGUGAGUGAUGAAGGUCUUCGGAUCGUAAAGCACUGUUAGUAGGGAAGCGGUACCUACACAGAAAGCCACGGCUAACUACGUGCCAGCAGCCGCGGUAAUAC
rnacentral:rRNA from 1 species